rnacentral:rRNA from 1 species
AUGCCGGCCCCGCCGGAAAGCGCGGCGGGCGGCAGCAGCGGGGAGCACCUCCGCGGCCACGCGCACCUCACCAACUGCAUCCACCUGCGCCACCACCACGCGCACGGCCACGGCAGCGCGUCCGGCCGGCGGCGCAGCCCCCCCGAGUCCUCCGCGUCGCUCAUGCGGGACCUCCUCGCGAUGCAGCGCUCCCGCUCGCUCCGGGACCCCUCCACCCGCCGCUCCGUCGACUCCUCCUCCCGCGUCGCCGCCGAGCCCCCCGAGGACGACCCCCCCGCCCCCGCCCCAGGCCGCGGCGCGCUCAAGACCCUCCUCGACCAGCUCGCGGAGGACCCGCGCCCCAGCGCCCGCCGCCCGCGCCGCCGGUUCAGGCGCGGGGCCGGCCGCCGCGCCGCGCCCGCUGCCGCGGACGCCGGCGGUCUGGAUCGCGCUGGCGCCUUCUCCGCCAACUCCAGCUCCCAGGAGGCCGUCUGCGGCAACAGGUACUUCUUCGGCGCCGGCGCGGGCAGCGACGACAGCGAGGGGCUGCAGCCGCGCCCGCGGCCCCAGGCGUCGCAGGACUCGCGCAACGUCUGCGGCAUCCCCUGGAACUGGUCGCGCCUCCACCACCGCAGCAAGUCCAUCCUCGACAUGGCCGGCCGGAGCCUCUCCUGCGGCCUGUCCGACCCCAAGUCGGCGGCCGCGGCGCGGAGGUCCUUGGCCGCCACUUCCUGCGGUGCCUACGCGGACGGGUCGCGUUCGCACCCGCACUUCCCGGUGACGGCGAGGCUGACGUCCUCCACCAGCUCCGACUCCGACUCACUGCCGCUGCUCGCCGAGGGCGCGCGGAAUGGCAUCCGCGCCAUUUCCAGGAGCUUCUCUGGGGAGCUCGGGAUUUUCUCCAAUCAGAGCAGCGAGCUGGAUUCCGACCUCAUGUCCGAGGCGCGCUCGGGGCAGAAGUCGCGGGGCUCGCAGCGUGGCCGGCACCGGAGCCUCACUCAGAAGUAUGCACCCAGGACUUUCAAGGACGUUGUUGGGCAGAGCUUGGUUGUGCAGGCGCUGUCCAAUGCCAUUCUCAAGAGGAAGAUCGGGUCCGUCUAUGUCUUCUAUGGGCCGCACGGUACAGGCAAAACAUCGUGUGCUCGGGUGUUCGCCAAGGCGCUGAACUGCCAUUCUCCUGAACACCCCAAGCCUUGCGACACAUGCGCGUCUUGUAUCGCGCACAAUCUGGGAAAGAGUAGAAGUUUGGUGGAGAUUGGGCCUGUUGGUAACAUUGACCUGGACAGCAUUGUGGAUAUCCUUGACAAUGUGAUGCUUUCGCCGCUACCGGCGCACCACAGGGUGUUCAUCGUGGAUGAUUGCAACACACUGCCGCCUGAUACGUGGAGUGUCAUAUCGAAGGUUGUUGAGCGUGCACCUCGGCGUGUGGUUUUUGUUCUCAUCAGCCCAAAUCUCGACCUCCCACAUAUUAUUAUGUCAAGGUGCCAAAAGUUCUUCUUCCCCAAACUGAAGGAAUGCGACAUUGUCAACACUUUGCAGUGGAUUUGUACUAGUGAUGGCCUAGAUGUCGAUAGAGAUGCCUUGAAGCUUAUUGCUUCCCGGUCAGAUGGGUCACUGAGGGAUGCAGAGAUGACCUUGGAUCAAUUGAGUUUGCUUGGGCAGAGAAUUACAAUGCCACUUGUUCAAGAACUUGCUGGCUUGGUUUCUGACGAUAAAUUGGUAAAUUUGCUUGAUUUGGCACUAUCUGCUGACACUGCAAACACGGUGAAAGCUUUGCGUGAUAUUACUGAAACAGGUGUUGAACCUUUGUCCCUAAUGUCUCAAGUCGCCACAAUAAUAACUGAUAUCCUUGCUGGCACCUACACAUUCACACAGGAAAGAAUUCGAAGAAGGUUCUUCAAACGUCCAACAUUAUCAAAGGAGGAUAUGGAAAAACUGCGCCAGGCCUUGAAAACACUCUCUGAAGCUGAAAAACAGUUGAGGGUCUCUAAUGAUAAGAUGACCUGGCUUACAGCUGCUCUGCUCCAGCUUGCUCCUGAUAAACAGUAUGUACUGCCAAGUUCAUCGACAAGUACAAGUUUUAACCAGGGUUUGCCUACAUACCCUGAUGGUGAUAUAGCAAGGAACUCUGGUCCGCAUGGGUUAUCAAGAGCAUCUGACCAAGAAAAUCUGCAAUACAGAAGAAAUGCUAAUCUGGGGAUUUGUUCUAGCCAUGUCACGGCAAACAAUUACCAUGGUGGAAGGAGACUCAGGGAACAUACACCAGAUGGCCAUAUGUUGUCAACAAGUGCUACCAGAAUGAAUGAAGGAUCUAAAUGUAGCAAAACUGACAACGAGAUGAUUUGGCAAGCUGUUCUAGAAAAUGUCGAGUCAGAUUCGUUGAGAAAAAUGAUGGCUAAAGAGGGACGGGUGAUUUCUGUUAGCCUUGGCACAGCACCAACUGUGCAGUUAAUGUUCAGUUCUCGAGUGAAUAAGUCCAAAGCUGAAAAGUCCAGGGGUCAAAUUUUGCAAGCAUUUGAGUCUGUUCUUUCUUCUGCUAUAAUACUUGAAAUCCGAUAUGAAUCGAAGGAUGGUGGAGAAGGUGUUGAGGAUACCUAUUCCAACAUUGCUUUAACGAGGUCUUUCACGAAACAUAGUUCAGUUUCUUCUGGAGGUGAGAAUUUAGUUAGCAGGCUCCAGAAAGGCAGAGUUGCCCAGGGUACUAGCUCAAAUCAGACAAGAUGGAUGCAAUCUGAUCCACACAUAUUGACUGAAGGUGAGAUUAUUGAAGUGGGCCCUUCUGAAAUGGGAUGGUACGGGGAACCAGAUACUGGUGCUGUUGCCUCAGAUAAAAGAAGAAGUGUACGGGAAGCAGCUUUGUCAUCACAAGACCAAGAAAAUAUACGUCCUCCAGGAGGAACAAAUGAACAUGAUCGACAAAAAAAUAUAGUAAGAGGUAAGGUAUCUCUUGCUCAUGUUAUUAACAAGGCGGAAGCUUGUUCUCAACAAGGAGGCUGGUCAAGACAAAAAGGCAUGUCAAUAACAGAAAAGUUAGAGCAAGAGAAUUUGAGAUUAGAGCCUAGGUCGAGUCUGCUUUGUUGGAAAGCUUCGAGCACUACUAGACGGAAGCUCUCAGAAUUGAAGAUAAGGACUCGAAGAUCGCGAGCCCUAUCAAGACUCGUCUUGUGUGGAAGGUGCAUUUCAGUGAAAUCUCCAAGAUAA